GCCAUGCCUCAGUGGCACAGCAUCUGCUUUGCAGGCAGAAGGUCAUUGGUUCAAUCCCCAGCAUUUUCAGUU
rnacentral:tRNA from 1 species